AAGUCACCAGGGAGGAAGCCGAGAAGUCAGACUCCCCGUGCGAUGUCUGAGAACGUCUUCUUCUAAGUCUGUACCCCUGCAUCGUGGGAAUGUGUGGGAGGGCCAUGCAUCUGCGCUUGCGUGUGGAAGCCAGGGCUGCAAGAACGGUACCGUGAGUGACAAGGCUGCCUUCAUCAAAUGACAGUCUGCCCAGCGCACCUCAGCAGUAACUUAAAUACAACAAGUAUAUGUGUACUUUGAGAAAACAUCAGUCACCAUUUUGAAAUUCAUCCACAGAACACUAGCCUCCUAAGGUCUGUUUGCCUCUAAAACAUUCACUUGGCUUCUAAAUGGCCAGGAUCCAGUGUAGCUAGCAGCAGCAAAUGGCCACCACAAGAGGUUAGUUAGCAUCCUGAGGGUGUGGAGGAUUUGUGAAUGGAAGCAGGACAGUGUGCGGUCACUGUGUCUCAGUCGCUUUGGGGGCCAAAAGUAUAGUACAGUUCUAAGACAGACAAUGAGCCACACUGGAAGCAUUUACUGGAAACAGGACUUUCCACCCACUCAUUUCUGUGAGGCCAUGGUGAGUCUAACACCCCUCCUAGUGGCUGUAACUUUCCUUUUGCCAUUGUACCAUUUCCCUUGGAGGACCAGCUCAUGCAUUCUCUCUCGGGCUGUCCCAGGCUUCCCUGCGGGUGUCCCUGUCAUCCUUUCUACAGCUCUCCACAUCUGAGGAGUUGGCAUCAGGGAGCCUAGUCCUCCAAGGCCACUGUUGCCUGGAGGCACUGCAGACCACCUUGUGUGAAACUGUGAAGGACACUCCGUCACCCAGCCUCCACUUUCCAAGUGCUAGAAUUAUAGGCUUACACCCUGAAAGUCAGUUGUUAUGUAGUCCUGAAGAUCCAAACCAGGGCCCAACGUGUGCAAAGUGAAUGCUCUGCCGACUGAGCUGUUUCCUAGCUCCAGGAAAGUGUUCUACAAUGGGAGAGUUCAAAUCUCUGUGAAGCACUUGACUCCUCUCCUUUGGGUGACAACCUCCAACGAGUGGGGUGAUUUCUCACAAGCUCCCCAAAGCCGUUAGCAAAGCUUGAAGCAAGUGUAGAAGUUGUGGCUCCUUCUCCAGCACCACGGCUGCCUGCAGGCUGCUAUGCUUCCUGCUAUGAUGACAAUAGAUCAACCCUGUGAACUGCAAGCAAGCUCUGAUUAAAUGUUUUCCUCUAUAAGAGUUGCUGUGGCCAUGGUGUCUCUUCGCGGCAACAGCAACUGUUGCUGAGACAGGACCCCAUCUCCAUGGACUGAAAAAGAAGAUUGAACUCUGUGGUCUCGGAGCCUCCAUAAUUGCUGUCGUCGUAUUGCAGGUGUGAGAAAAUGGAGAACGGGAGGAAGCAGGAGACAGCAUCCUGUCUGGGUGUUGGCGGCCCCUUUUCUGCUUCUAUGCUCAGCUUUGCCUGGAGCUCUCUCUGGUCACAUACUGUCCAGUCCGGAAACGGUCAGGCCUUUGUUAAGUUCAGCUUGGGAAGUACCAGGAAAAAAAAAAGCAAAACAAACAAACAAACAAACAAAAAGAAAAGCACUGCAAUUUAAUGGUACCUGAUUUUAAAAUUCUUCUUCUGGCUGCCCUCUGUUCUUUACAUCCCGAUCCUCUGUAGCCCGUUGCACUCUAACUAAGAUCUAUAGUAGCAUCAAGUGCGAAACUCUCCUGAUCCUUUGCAAAGACUCACUGUGAUGUUGAAUCCUUGUGCCAGAGAGAAGCAGAAAGAUCAUGAAAUAUUAGAUAAUAUCUUCUUGGAUAUUAUCUUGGAUAUGGAAAAUAGUAAUGUAAUAAAUAUAAAGUUAAAUAAAAUUUUCCUGAAACAAA